rnacentral:rRNA from 2 species
AUACAUGCAGUCGAGCGAACAGAUGAGAAGCUUGCUUCUCUGAUGUUAGCGGCGGACGGGUGAGUAACACGUGGGUAACCUACCUAUAAGACUGGGAUAACUCCGGGAAACCGGGGCUAAUACCGGAUAAUAUUUUGAACCGCAUGGUUCAAUAGUGAAAGACGGUUUCGGCUGUCACUUAUAGAUGGACCCGCGCCGUAUUAGCUAGUUGGUAAGGUAACGGCUUACCAAGGCGACGAUACGUAGCCGACCUGAGAGGGUGAUCGGCCACACUGGAACUGAGACACGGUCCAGACUCCUACGGGAGGCAGCAGUAGGGAAUCUUCCGCAAUGGGCGAAAGCCUGACGGAGCAACGCCGCGUGAGUGAUGAAGGUCUUCGGAUCGUAAAACUCUGUUGUUAGGGAAGAACAAAUUUGUUAGUAACUGAACAAGUCUUGACGGUACCUAACCAGAAAGCCACGGCUAACUACGUGCCAGCAGCCGCGGUAAUACGUAGGUGGCAAGCGUUAUCCGGAAUUAUUGGGCGUAAAGCGCGCGUAGGCGGUUUCUUAAGUCUGAUGUGAAAGCCCACGGCUCAACCGUGGAGGGUCAUUGGAAACUGGGAAACUUGAGUGCAGAAGAGGAGAGUGGAAUUCCAUGUGUAGCGGUGAAAUGCGCAGAGAUAUGGAGGAACACCAGUGGCGAAGGCGGCUCUCUGGUCUGUAACUGACGCUGAUGUGCGAAAGCGUGGGGAUCAAACAGGAUUAGAUACCCUGGUAGUCCACGCCGUAAACGAUGAGUGCUAAGUGUUAGGGGGUUUCCGCCCCUUAGUGCUGCAGCUAACGCAUUAAGCACUCCGCCUGGGGAGUACGACCGCAAGGUUGAAACUCAAAGGAAUUGACGGGGACCCGCACAAGCGGUGGAGCAUGUGGUUUAAUUCGAAGCAACGCGAAGAACCUUACCAAAUCUUGACAUCCUUUGACCGCUCUAGAGAUAGAGUCUUCCCCUUCGGGGGACAAAGUGACAGGUGGUGCAUGGUUGUCGUCAGCUCGUGUCGUGAGAUGUUGGGUUAAGUCCCGCAACGAGCGCAACCCUUAAGCUUAGUUGCCAUCAUUAAGUUGGGCACUCUAGGUUGACUGCCGGUGACAAACCGGAGGAAGGUGGGGAUGACGUCAAAUCAUCAUGCCCCUUAUGAUUUGGGCUACACACGUGCUACAAUGGAUAAUACAAAGGGCAGCGAAUCCGCGAGGCCAAGCAAAUCCCAUAAAAUUAUUCUCAGUUCGGAUUGUAGUCUGCAACUCGACUACAUGAAGCUGGAAUCGCUAGUAAUCGUAGAUCAGCAUGCUACGGUGAAUACGUUCCCGGGUCUUGUACACACCGCCCGUCACACCACGAGAGUUUGUAACACCCGAAGCCGGUGGAGUAACCUUUUAGGAGCUAGCCGUCGAAG